GUCUACAUCAGUCAUAGCAUCCACAGCUUGAACAUCAGAAACAGAGAUUUCCAGGAAUGGCUUUGACAUCAUGUGAAAGAUCAAAUCAGAUCUAUAUGAAGCCAUUGGGACCGGUAAUUAGAAGAUUUGGAGCAAGGUGUCAUCAGUUUCUUGAUACAACCCAGUUCUUAUUCUCUGCAUCAACUGAGUCGGGUGCUUGGAUGUAGUGGUAGGCUGUAUGAGA